UGGAAACUCUGCAGACGAGCAGCAGACGGUCGAGUCUGCGGCCUCCAGCUGCUCCAGAAACAGCGAGUGGCAAACAUAUCUGCAGAGCGAUGACGACAAACACACCAGAAGACUGAAGUUUUUUGGAGCCGUGUACCUGCAGUUCAAUCACUCCAAAGAGCUGGUCGAUGUAGACUACAGUUUGGAAACUUCAUUUGCAAAACUCGUGUGUGCGAGGACAAACAGUAAGGGAUACCCUCCAGCUUUCUAGAUCCAACCGUGAACCUUACAGUUAUGAUGCUGUCAACUUAUAAAGAAUCCAUGAAGAGAGGCCACUUGAUGGGAAACUUCAGAUUCAAAUAUAACUGAUAUCAUUAUAUUUACAGUGUAAAUUAUACUUUUAUCAAGUAUGUCGUCAACUAUAUAAAACUGCAUUAUCAGUCAUUGGUUUUUGUCCAGUUUCAAUGAUCAGAAUCUAAUUUGAAAACAUACAUUUCCGUUUUAAUUCCGUCUGAUCACUGAAACUCAACCUGAUGAGUUUUCACUGUUGACAGGACCAACAUUUAGUCAGAAGCAACAUCAUAUUUUGUUAUUUAUGAGCCCUGAAAGGUAUUUUUAUGACAAGCAGAUGACAAGGGAACAUUUUACUAUAUAUCAAACAGAUUUUGUUUAAUAUGUUUUCUCUUUUUUCUGUAUUGUUCUCAGAUUGUUUGUUCUCUUAUUGGGUUUUUGGGUGGGGAAUUAUAGGUAUGUCUAUAGACUGUUAUAUAGCUGUAUGUACAUAUUGUUUGUGUUUAUUAGUCAAACGCUUGUCUGACCCAACUGACAGUUAUUUGGUUUUGUUUUAGGAAAAAUGGUGAAUAUUUAAGGAUUUGUCUUGCAGGUCAUAUUUGAGACUAGGGGCCUGUUUCACAAAGAUAUUUUAGACUUGUCAGUCUUCAUUUUUCUCAGAUUAGUCUAAUAUAAGUUAGACAGAUUCACAAAAAGAAAGACAGACUUAUUUUAAGCCUAAAAGGUUAGCUACCCCAAGACCUAUGUUUCCAUGGUGACUGGUAGCACAAAAUAGAGGAAAAAUGGCUCUAAAUUUGUAUUUUUCUCACAAUGUUGUGGAGCAAGUCACAAGAAAGCAAAGAGUUUUUACAUAGAUGGUAAAAUGUCCCAAUAACUGUUGGAUUUGUUAAGACAACAACCAUUUUCUGCUGCAGUGUAGGGAGCCGAGAGAUUUUAAGCAGUUAUUCAGUCGCUGCGUUUUUUUUAGCUUGAAAAAACUCUUAAUUUAAACAUUAUGCAUUGCAAAUUGGUCCAACUUAAGAUAGCGAGGAACUAGACAGAUGAAUUUAAGCUAAACCAUAGUCCUCAUGAUCUAAAGAUUAUCUUUGUCUACAGUAUUUUUGUGAAACUGGAUGCUGUUAUGAUCAGGAACUUAGAAAUACUGAGGUCACGAUCAUGAUUGUUCCUCUAAAACGCCAGAAAAUCUUCAGGGCUGAUUUCUUGUCAUGGAAAAGUCUUGAAAAAUUACAAAAUUGUCCAAAAUAUUCCUGAAAACAAAACACUGUCCUGAAAAAAUUUCGUAAUGUACAAUAAACAUGAUCAGGCAGCCACA